UGUUUUGUUUUUGGCUCAUGGUUUCAGAGAUAUCAGUCACUUGGCCCCCGCUGCUGUGAGCUUGUGGUGAGGCAAGGAAGCUGUGGCGGUGCUCUCCUCCUGCUGACCAGGAAGCAGAGAGGGGCUGGGAUGAAGAAUGCAGGAACAAAAUAAACUCUUCAGAGACACACCCCCAGUGGCCCACCUCUUCCAAUCAAGCUUUGCCUUCUAAAGCUUCCACGCUUCCCAACAGCUCAAUCAGAUCAGGGACAAGCCUUCAGCACGUGAGCUUUUAGGGACAUUCCAGAUCCAAAAUAUAACACAACAUUUCUAUAUAGUUGAUUGGAUCCAUAAGUCACUCUCAUAACCUAUUAAGCAAGCAUUGUCCAGCCACAUGCUGUGUUUCCUCCAAACACACUUUCUUAAUUUUUGAAAUAUGAAUAGCUGAAAAUUUCCCAAAUCUUCAAGUAUCUGGUUUCAUCUUGUGUAAUAAUUCCUUCUUCAAUGUAUCUCUUUCCUCUGACAUUUUGUGUAAACAGCAGGUACUGAUACAUGCAGUACCUUCAAUAUUUUACUUAGAUAAGUAAAUACAUUAUUUCUAAAAUAAUAUAUGUUUUAUCCUCAGCUAAAUACCCAUGUUAGUCAUUUAAACUUUCUGUUUUCCACAAAACACUCAGGUGGCAUAGGUCACUUUAUGUCCCCUAGUUUCCACAAACAUAUUCCUCAUUUCUGUCUGAGACCUCACCAGAAGCACCUUAAGUAUUUAUAUUUCCACCAACAUUCCAUUCAGGAUGACUCAUAAGUAGCUCUAGGAUGAUAGAAGAUUUUCCUACAGCUCUCUUGUUUUCUUUCCAAGCCGUCAGCAGAAUCCCUUUAACAUCUAUAUUUCUACCAAAAGCCUCUUUAAUACAAUCCGGGCUUUUCCUAACAUGACCCUCAAAAUUCUUCAAGUCUUUACCAUUAAGCAGAUCCCAAGUCACUUUCUAUAUUUCUAUAUUUUUUUGGUAUUUGUUACACCAGCACCCUCCUUCUUCCGGUAUCCAAAUCUGUAUUUGUUUUGUUUCCAAAAUAACCUACUACAAAUGGAGUAAUUAACAGAAAUGUAGCUGGACACAGUGGCGCAUGCCUAUAAUCCCAGCAGCUCAGGAGGCUGAGGCAGGAGGAUGGAGAGUUCAAGGCCAGCCUCAGCAAUUUACACAACUCAGUGAGACCCUGUCUCUAAAUAAAAUACAAAAUAGAGUUGGGGAUGUGGCUCAGGGGUUGAGUUCCCCUGAGUUCAAUCCCCAGUAGCGCACCCCCCAAAAAAAUAAUAGAAAUGCAUUUUCUUACAAUUCUGGAGGCCAGUAAAAUGUCAGCAGGCCUGAUUUCUUCUGAGGUCUCUCCUUAGCUUGAAGAUGGCCAAUGCUUCCUUUGCUCUAUGUCCCCAUAUGACUGUCGUCUGUCCUCUUGUCCUAAUUUCUCCUUCUUGUAAGUAUACAGUCAUUCAAUUAGGGCCCAUCCUAAUGGCCCCCUUUUAAUUGAAUCAUCGCACUAAGUACAGACAUAGCUCCAAAUACAGUAACAUUCUGAGGUACUGAAGUUUAGGACUUCAACUUAUGAACUUUGAAGGUUCAUGAUUCACGUCAUAACACUUUCUAUCAGGUAGUUGACCAUUUUAUUGAUUUGUAGGAUACUCUUCAUAUAUUCAGGAAAUAGACAUCUAUAUAGCUAAUAGAACUAGAAUUAACCAAUUCAUUAUGUACUGACGUACAAUUUCCAAGAUGUAUUAUUUUUUUCAGAUUGAAUCCAGGGCCUCAAGCAUGCUAGGCAAGCUCUCUACUACCUAGCUACACCCCCUCACCACCAGCCCUUUUAUAUUUUGUAUUCAGUUAUUUUUAGACAGGAUCUUGCAACUUAGUUACCCAGUCUGGCUUCCAAUUUGCAAUCCUCCUGCGUCAGCCUAGGUAGCUGGGAUUACAAGAAAGUGCCACUGCACCCAGC
rnacentral:lncRNA from 1 species